rnacentral:lncRNA from 1 species
UCACUGUAACGUUUCCCCAUUUAACAAAACAUUUAUUUAUGUCCACAGUCAUAUCAACUAGCAAAUAAAACAUCCAAACACUGUAAUGAACCUCCAAACACAGCAGAUCAAAUGUAAAUAUUAGAAGUAGUUAUAUUUUAUUAUUGGUCACAUCGGUGGUAUAAUACAGACAGCUGGAGCCAGGGGGUCAGAGGUCAGGGCUCUGCCCUGCUGGGUCAGGAGAGGAGGGGCUUAGUGGUACUUCCUCCAGCGGUCGUGCUCUGAGAGGAGAAGAAGAGAGGGAGAGAGAGAGAGAGAGGAGAAGGAGAGAGGGAGAAUGGAGAAGUGGGGACAGAGAGCGAGAGGGGACAGAGGUUAACGUCAGAUCGUCCUUCCCAGUGUCUGUACUCACUGAGGUGGUCGUACUCCCACAGUGUCUGUACUCCCACAGGGUUAGGGUUAGUACUCACUGAGGUGGUCGUACUCCCACAGUGCAGUGUCUGUACUCCCACAGUGUCUGUACUCCCACAGGGUUAGGGUUAGUACUCACUGAGGUGGUCGUACUCCCACAGUGCAGUGUCUGUACUCCCACAGUGUCUGUACUCCCACAGGGUUAGGGUUAGUACUCACUGAGGUGGUCGUACUCCCCCAGUGUCUGUACUUACUGAGGUGGUCGUACUCCCCCAGUGUCUGUACUUACUGAGAUGGUCGUACUCCCACAGUGUCUGUACUUACUGAGGUGGUCGUACUCCCCCAGUGUCUGUACUUACUGAGAUGGUCGUACUCCCCCAGUGUCUGUACUUACUGAGAUGGUCGUACUCCCCCAGUGUCUGUACUCCCACAGUGUCUGUACUUACUGAGAUGGUCGUACUCCCACAGUGUCUGUACUCCCACAGUGUCUGUACUCACUGAGGUGGUCGUACUCCCCCAGUGUCUGUACUCCCCCAGUGUCUGUACUCCCCCAGUGUCUGUACUCCCCCAGGGUUAGUACUCACUGAGGUGGUCGUACUCCCCCAGGGUUAGUACUCACUGAGGUGGUCGUACUCCCACCAGGGUUAGGGUUAGUACUCACUGAGGUGGUCGUACUCCCACCAGGGUUAGGGUUAGUACUCACUGAGGUGGUCGUACUCCCCCAGGGUUAGGGUUAGUACUCACUGAGGUGGUCGUACUCCCCCAGGGUUAGGGUUAGUACUCACUGAGGUGGUCGUACUCCCACAGGGUUAGGGUUAGUACUCCCCCAGGGUUAGGGUUAGUACUCACGGAGGUGGUCGUACUCCCCCAGGGUUAGUACUCACUGAGGUGGUCGUACUCCC